rnacentral:snoRNA from 1 species
AUCUAUAUGAUGAUAACUUACUCAGCUCACUCAGAUCAAUUAUGAUAGAUAACAUUUCCUAUCCAACAUUCAUCAAAUAUCUGACCUCAGAU